GUGUCUUUGAUUAUCACUCACACCAGGUCCCACCAGGUUGUAAAAUUACAACAUCGACUGCCGCUCUGCCUGUGGCUGGUUCCUUCCUCUCCACCACUAUGCCAAUCAUGGAAAAAAAGAAAAAAUAAGACACUGGGGUUACCAGGGGAAGCCCGGAUGCGAGAGAAAAAUCCCGGCAAACCCGCUGUGUAUGAGAAGAGAAGAACGAAAACUUCGCUGAAAGAAGAGAGAGAAAGAGUCUUCCCCACCAUGAAACCAGGUUGUGUAGAGAUGGAGAAUGUAUGAUUCCAAAGCUGUCACCUGCACUUCCCAGGGGAAGCAAUUUGGGUCAACAUAACACUUCCCCUUCUUAAAAAAGGGUUAUGAAAAGGGGUCAUUUGUAAGUCCGUAUGUAAGUCAAGAAAUAACAGUUAUGUUGAAACAAAUAGUGUACGACUGCAACAUUCACCCAGCAAGUGCAGCUUUUACUAAGGUAUUCCUCAUUAUGACAUCAAGUUCUUUCAAUAUCUAACUUUGUGACCUUCUUUUAUUGCAUGUAUAAAUGAGAACUACUUGAUGAUGCACAACAUUUG